rnacentral:rRNA from 1 species
AUUGAACGCUGGCGGCAUGCCUUACACAUGCAAGUCGAACGCGAAAGGGGGGCAACUCCUGAGUAGAGUGGCGCACGGGUGAGUAAUGCAUCGGAACGUGUCCUGUAGCGGGGGAUAACCUAGCGAAAGCUAGGCUAAUACCGCAUACGUCCUACGGGAGAAAGUGGGGGAUCGUAAGACCUCACACUAUAGGAGCGGCCGAUGCCGGAUUAGCUAGUUGGUGGGGUAAAAGCCUACCAAGGCGACGAUCCGUAGCUGGUCUGAGAGGAUGAUCAGCCACACUGGGACUGAGCCACGACCCAGAAUCCUACGGGAGGCAGCAGUGGGGAAUUUUGGACAAUGGGGGAAACCCUGAUCCAGCCAUGCCGCGUGAGUGAAGAAGGCCUUCGGGUUGUAAAGCUCUUUCGGCCGGGACGAAAUCGCACGCGUGAAUAUCGCGUGUGGAUGACGGUACCGGAAGAAGAAGGACCGGCUAACUACGUGCCAGCAGCCGCCGUAA